rnacentral:misc_RNA from 1 species
GAUGAAGAACGCAGUGAAAUGCGAUAAGUAAUGUGAAUUGCAGAAUUCAGUGAAUCAUCGAAUCUUUGAACGCACAUUGCGCCCCUUGGUAUUCCAUGGGGCAUGCCUGUUCGAGCGUCAUUUGUACCUUCAAGCUCUGCUUGGUGUUGGGUGUUUGUCUCGCCUCUGCGUGUAGACUCGCCUUAAAACAAUUGGCAGCCGGCGUAUUGAUUUCGGAGCGCAGUACAUCUCGCGCUUUGCACUCAUAACGACGACGUCCAAAAGUACAUUUUUACACUCUUGACCUCGGAUCAGGUAGGGAUACCCGCUGAACUUAAGCAUAUCAAUAAGCGGAGGA